CUCCAUGCUGGAAGGCUGAAGAUACUGGGUUCUGCUGUCAUCAGAGGACAGUGGCAGUAUUGACAGCAGCUGUAGCAGCAACAGGGCAGGUUGGCUCAACCAGCAAUGCUGGAAGCCUUGCCGGAUGGAUGCUGCCCAGGUCCCUUUGUCUGCAACCGAAGCUCAAAGCCGAAAACCCUGCAGGAAGUGGCUCUGACUAGCGGAUCUGAUUGUGAUAUAGCACGCAGUACUACUGGGCUUUGGGACAUCCUGUAUACUGUGGAGCUGACCAUCCCGCCAUCACUGUCUCCCAGGAUGAACAGAAACAUCCUUAAAGUUCUGGUCCACAGAAUCUCAGUUCCACUACUUAACUCUGUGACCGUGAGUGAGUCAUUUCCUCCCUGAGCCUCAGUCUCCCCACCUCUUAAGUGGAAUGUAAAUAAAUCUACCCUGGAAAA